CAAAAAUUCUGACUGACGCCUUGAAAAGUUUUUUCCGACCCGCAGUGCGCCAUUUCAUCGUGAUGAGCGCGGAUCACAUUCGUUUCCAUUGACUCGGAUUCUAGUUUUCGACUAAUUCUUUGGAUGGCAGUGUCCGUGAGCUGUCGGAAUUCCAACUCUCGUUCCAACGGCAGCUCAUUGACAUAACUCGCAACUCUACUGAGCGCAUCUACAUGCGCCAUCCUAUUACCUGAACGUAAGAUUGCCCCAAGACCCAAGCUGCUCGCAUCCGUAUGCAGCUCCGUGUCAGCGGUAGGGUCAUAUAAAGCAAGAACCGGCGAGGAGGUUUUGCAAAGGUUUUGCUUUCAAAGCAAAAUGUUCUAUGAAUUUGCGAAAAUAACUAGCUAACCCCAGGAAGUGUUGCACCUCGUGAAUAUUCGAAGGUCUUUUAAAAUUCUCGAUUGCCUCCGUAUGUCGCAGACUCAAAGUUAUCACAUUUGCCGAAAUUACAUACCCCAAAAAUUCUACUUCUCUUUUCAAAAAUUGGCAUUUCUUGUAAUUCACUUCGAAAUUAUAUUUUUUUAACGUACGCAAUACUUCGCUAAGAGUUUCUAAAUUCGCUUCAACAGUUUCAGACGGAUUAAAACGUCGUCUAUAUAAAUUAAUAUUUUAUCGGCUCGAAUGAGUGGCUCUAAAAUUUGUAUCACCCGUUUUUGAAAUUCAGCCGGCACUUCUGAGUAUCCGAACGGUAGUUGCGUGUAUUCAUAUUGUCCGUCUGGAGUCGCAAACGAAAAAUAUUGCAUCGACUCUUCGUGCACCUUAAUCUGGUGAAAACCAUCUUUAAGAUCUAACAGAGUGAACACCGAUUUAUUUGAUAAACGCGACAAGCAGUCUUCGAUGAUUGGAAACGGAUAUCUCUGCUUGAUCACUCGACUGUUCAAUGGUCUUAGGUCUACGCAAAGUCUAAUUUGACCGCUUCUCUUUCUCACCGGGAUCACUCUAGCGCAAUACGGCGAAAUACUCGGCCGAAUAAUUCCUCUCUUUAACAAAUCAUCGACAAUAUCUCGAAUUUGUAGGCGUUCCAUAUACGCGAAACGUCGAGGCGCAUAAGCAUAAACCGACUCAUCCUUUAGAUGCACUCGAACUACAUAUCCGUCAUCUAUCGUUUCAAUCUUUUCUUUUUCUAUCUCUAAGACUAGAUCUAUCAACUUGUUCUUCGCCUCAAAUCCGAAAUCCGCCGAUUGUUCAGACAAUAUUUGUUGCAAAUUCUCUACCGCGUCCUCCGUGACAUUGAGUGGUAGAUACUCGAAUAGAUUCACGCUGCACUGAUCAGAUUCGUCUGACGGCUCACAAUACCUGUACACCACGAUGAGCCGCUGCUCUUUAAUAAAUUCACGCCCGAGGAUUAACUCUCCGUCGAACGGUUCAUCAAAUGGCAGACACUUCCACAAACGGUCUCGUAAGCUCCAACCUCGGACUGUCCUCCUCGGCGACGACGGCUACCGUAUCCUCCGACGUUGACUCUCCGCGUACAAGCGCUGCUACCUGAGAGGCCACAGGUCGAGGCGACGAAGUUGCCCUCCCAUUGCUCCGGUUCUUAAGGGCCGGACAAUCGAAUUGCCUGUGCCCUCUCAUCUUGCAGUAGAAACAGAUACUGGUCUUUGAUCGAUGUCGGCACAGCCCUCAGUGAUGCUUCUCAUCCUGGCUAAGAAACCGUCCACCGUAUCAUUCGCCACUGUAAGGGCAAUCGCCCUUAACGCCGGUUGUGAUAUUCCGCCAAUCAGCAGAUGGAUAGCAUCUUUCACAGAUGCAGCUAACAAGGUCAUCCCGUCCGAGGCGCCGUGUAUAAGCGCGACCCUGUCUACUCUCCGGACCCAUACGACCACGUUUUCGUCUUCUGCUCCGCCGAACUCUGGAAUCUGAGAGGCAAGCCACUGAAUUGCACUACCCGACGACAUCCCGCCUACUUCACUCAACUGGCCUAUCCGCACUUCCCUCGGAGAUGGCCCACGCUGUUCUGGCACUGUGCUCGAUGACGAUGUGCCCGAACAUGUUCUCGACGAUUCCUCCGCAUAAUCUCUUGAUUUUGGCGCGCCAGCGUCGUGGAGAUCUCCGUCAGCGCCUGACGAAACGUAGCCGCAGUCAACGGCUCUGAAUCCUGCUCUUUAGCCCUAGUCGGCGCUCCCGACAAGCCAACUUCAGCAGCCGUUCCCGGCAUCUCCGUCAACGGACUCGUACGCUCCGUUCUCUCUUGAUUUUCUAAAGAGGCCUUAUCUAAUUCCUCACGACUCAACAUGGCACGUGUCUUCGGCAUGGCCCGACGCGACCGAACUUACGACACCCGUCCUAGUACACUUCUUGACUCGACACUAUCCGAAACGCACGAAGUCCUGAUCCCACUUCUGAUGUUGAAAGAUAAAUUCCUUCGUUUUAACUAGACUAAUUCUCUUUCUUAAAUUUCUACCCGAUUUCCUCUCUUCGUUGUAAAUAUCCCUAAUCGUCCCGAUGACCUUCAACGAUUCGAACUGCUGGACUAAGGACUUUCUGGGAACAUUAAUAAAGAGAUAAUUCCAAUGUCUCUGGACAAAUCACCAAGCGUUUAUUCUGUUCUACAAAUAUAUAAAGCGUUUCUCGCGAUUUAUACUAUGACUUCGUAC